rnacentral:rRNA from 1 species
CAGCCGCCACGGGAACACGGAGGGAGCUAGCGUUAUUCGGAAUUACUGGGCGUAAAGCGCACGUAGGCGGCUUUGUAAGUAAGAGGUGAAAGCCCGGAGCUCAACUCCGGAACUGCCUUUUAGACUGCAUCGCUUGAAUCCAGGAGAGGUGAGUGGAAUUCCGAGUGUAGAGGUGAAAUUCGUAGAUAUUCGGAAGAACACCAGUGGCGAAGGCGGCUCACUGGACUGGUAUUGACGCUGAGGUGCGAAAGCGUGGGGAGCAAACAGGAUUAGAUACCCCGGUAGUCCCUGUCUCUUAUAC